rnacentral:lncRNA from 1 species
UUAUUAUAAAGAGUCUAGAAUAAGAGGGAGAUGUGAGAGACAAAGUGAAAUAUUUUUAGAAUGAGAGGGAGAUGUUAGGGGGAUAUUAAAAAAAAUUAGGCUAAUUUUUUUUAUUGAGCUUAAUCAUAUUUCUAAUUUAGUGAAUAUGCCAACAAAGUUAUGUUGUUAAAAUUUAAUUUUCUAACUUUUAAUUUUUUUAUUUAUUUUAUAGUUAAG